rnacentral:rRNA from 1 species
GACGUAGGGCGCGAGCGUUGUCCGGAUUUAUUGGGCGUAAAGAGCUCGUAGGCGGCUUGUCGCGUCGUCCGUGAAAACUUGGGGCUCAACCCCAAGCUUGCGGUCGAUACGGGCAGGCUAGAGUUCGGUAGGGGAGACUGGAAUUCCUGGUGUAGCGGUGAAAUGCGCGGAUAUCAGGAGGAACACCGGUGGCGAAGGCGGGUCUCUGGGCCGAUACUGACGCUGAGGAGCGAAAGCGUGGGGAGCGAACAGG